rnacentral:rRNA from 1 species
UACGAAGGGGGCUAGCGUUGCUCGGAAUCACUGGGCGUAAAGCGCGCGUAGGCGGCGUUUUAAGUCGGGGGUGAAAGCCUGUGGCUCAACCACAGAAUGGCCUUCGAUACUGGGACGCUUGAGUAUGGUAGAGGUUGGUGGAACUGCGAGUGUAGAGGUGAAAUUCGUAGAUAUUCGCAAGAACACCGGUGGCGAAGGCGGCCAACUGGACCAUUACUGACGCUGAGGCGCGAAAGCGUGGGGAGCAAACAGG